rnacentral:rRNA from 1 species
AGAGUUUGAUCCUGGCUCAGAACGAACGCUGGCGGCAGGCUUAACACAUGCAGGUCGAGCGCCCCGCAAGGGGAGCGGCAGACGGGCGAGUAACGCGUGGGAACGUACCCUUUGCUACGGAAUAACUCCGGGAAACUGGAACUAAUACCGUAUGUGCCCUUCGGGGGAAAGAUUUAUCGGCAAGGGAUCGGCCCGCGUUGGAUUAGCUAGUUGGUGGGGUAAAGGCCUACCAAGGCGACGAUCCAUAGCUGGUCUGAGAGGAUGAUCAGCCACACUGGGACUGAGACACGGCCCAGACUCCUACGGGAGGCAGCAGUGGGGAAUAUUGGACAAUGGGCGCAAGCCUGAUCCAGCCAUGCCGCGUGAGUGAUGAAGGCCCUAGGGUUGUAAAGCUCUUUCACCGGUGAAGAUAAUGACGGUAACCGGAGAAGAAGCCCCGGCUAACUUCGUGCCAGCAGCCGCGGUAAUAC